rnacentral:sRNA from 1 species
UUUGAUGGAACAAAGACUAAAGACACCACAUCCUGUGGUAACGUCUUUGUGACCAACAUCGUGUUGG